rnacentral:lncRNA from 1 species
AUGAAUAAACAUGUUAGUGCAAGUCAUUAAUGACGUAAAUUAGACGCUAUUAACGUCAGUGUUAGGAUUGACACUAAGUUUUUUAAGGCUAAAAUGUCUUUUUAUCGUAGUGUAAGCACAUUUUAUUUUAUGUCUAAAUUAUUUAUUUAUGACAUAUCCUCUUGAGCAUUUUAUUUUUUAUUUUUUAGGCUAAAUUUUAGAGGAGUUUUUUUAUGACAUAUAUUUCCUUG